UACAGAGGGUGCAAGCGUUAAUCGGAAUUACUGGGCGUAAAGCGCGCGUAGGUGGUUUGUUAAGUUGGAUGUGAAAUCCCCGGGCUCAACCUGGGAACUGCAUUCAAAACUGACAAGCUAGAGUAUGGUAGAGGGUGGUGGAAUUUCCUGUGUAGCGGUGAAAUGCGUAGAUAUCGGGAGGAACACCAGUGGCGAAGGCGACUACCUGGCCCAUUCUUGACGCUGAGGCGCGAAAGCUAGGGGAGCAAACGGG
rnacentral:rRNA from 1 species